rnacentral:rRNA from 1 species
GACGAACCGUGCGAACGUUAUUCGGAAUCACUGGGCUUAAAGCGCGUGUAGGCGGAUGGGGACGUCGGUCGCUGAAAUCCCCCGGCUCAACCGGGGAACGGGCGCCGAAACGCCCCGUCUGGAGGGACGUAGGGGGACCUGGAACUUCCGGUGGAGCGGUGAAAUGCGUUGAUAUCGGAAGGAACGCCGGUGGCGAAAGCGGCGUGCUGGACCUUUGCUGACGCUGAUGCGCGAAAGCCAGGGGAGCGAACGGG